AACGAACGCUGGCGGCAUGCCUAACACAUGCAAGUCGAACGAGACCUUCGGGUCUAGUGGCGCACGGGUGCGUAACGCGUGGGAACCUGCCCUUAGGUUCGGAAUAACUCCCCGAAAGGGGUGCUAAUACCGGAUAAUGUCUUCGGACCAAAGAUUUAUCGCCUUUGGAUGGGCCCGCGUUGGAUUAGCUAGUUGGUAGGGUAAAAGCCUACCAAGGCGACGAUCCAUAGCUGGUCUGAGAGGAUGAUCAGCCACACUGGGACUGAGACACGGCCCAGACGGCAAAGGGGGGAAGAAGGAGGAAAUAUUGAGGAAGGAGGAAGCGGGUAGUCGGGCAGGGGCGCGAGGGGGAUGAAGGUGUUAGUAGUAGAAAUCACUUUUAGGGGGGAUAAUAAUGAGAGGAGAGGGAGAAUGAGGGCAGGCAAGCUCCGGGCCAGCGGCGGCGGUAAUAAGAAAAGCACACGCUAACC
rnacentral:rRNA from 1 species